UUCAAUUACUCUGGGAUCCCGCAAGCUUCCCAGAAUCCUCUUUGACCACAAUCAAAGCAUAGUGUCUGAAAGUAGCCUGGCCACACAAAAUGUGCAAAACACUGUAACCUCUCCACAGCCUCACUCCACUUUGCAUUUGAGGGAAAUGAUUCUAGAAGCUGAAAUAGACCAGAGUUCAACAGUCUGGGAAAUUUGAAGAAGAAAAAAGAAAAAAAAGAAAAAAAAAAAAAAAACAUCGAAGUCCUGCAUUUGCAGAGAUGUGAAGAGAACCCAGCUUUCUGAAGUUGGAAGGAAGUGAGAAGACCCUAUUUGUGGCUGCAGGAGAGGAAAAGAAAAGGGACCCGCAAGGAAACUACCAACAGAUGACAGGAAUCUGGGCCAAAGAGUUGCAGGAAAUUAGCAAAGAUCAUACAACUAGCUCAUGGCAAAUUCAGCACUGGAACCUAAGACAUUGCCCGCCUAGUCCUGUGUUUGCUUUCCUCUAGCCCUCAUUGAAGGUGGACAUUGCUGUGAUGAGCAAAACCCAAUUCUAGAAGACUUCGAUCAUGGGAGCCCUCACGCUUGGGUUCUUAUAAAGCAAGAUGAUGGCGUUUCUGUCUGGUCUGUAGAUGUUUGGGAAACUGGUUGAUAUUCUUUACAAGUAAGGUUUCAAGCUAAAAUAGAUUUGUUAAUUUCUGUCCUAAACCCCUGUGGGUCGUCUGAUUAUAUAGCUACCACACUAUUUGACACAGCUGGGAUCCUCUUUUCAUGAAAUAGCAGGGAAGAUUGGUGGAUAAGGAUUAAAAAGCAUUGGCAGAGGAGACUGGGAGACUCACACAAUUACUUCCACCCAGUGCCUUCCUGGUCGAAGAACUUCUCCCAGCCUCUUGGAGAGAGAGGUGGACAAGAAGAAAAAGCAAGCAUCCAAAUUGCUGAGAGAGAGUUUCAAGUGGAGUAGCCAUCAUGAGAGCCAGAGGGUGGCUCGCAGUAUCGUACCCACUCUUCCUGCAGCCGGUCCAGCCCCCGCGCGUAGUACUCACGCAGCAGAAACCGCUGAAGUACAAAUCAUUCUACAGUGUUCUCAUCCUGCUGUAGCACUGGUUAGUAGCAUCCAUGAACUGAAGAAGUGUUGAGCAGGUCAGCUCCCCGAGGCCAAAAUUUCCUCCUUGGGGUAUGAAAAGAAACACAUGAACAAAUUCCCCUCCAUACAACAACA